rnacentral:rRNA from 1 species
UAAGCAUAUCAAUAAGCGCAGGAAAAGAAACCAACAGGGAUUGCCUCAGUAACGGCGAGUGAAGCGGCAACAGCUCAAAUUUGAAAUCUGGCCUCUUGGGGUCCGAGUUGUAAUUUGUAGAGGAUGUUUCGGGUACCGCCUCGGUUUAAAUUUCUUGGAACAGAAUGUCAAAGAGGGUGAGAAUCCCGUCUUGGACCGGCGGUAGGGCCUAUGUGAAACUCCUUCGACGAGUCGAGUUGUUUGGGAAUGCAGCUCAAAAUGGGUGGUAAAUUUCAUCUAAAGCUAAAUAUUGGCCAGAGACCGAUAGCGCACAAGUAGAGUGAUCGAAAGAUGAAAAGCACUUUGAAAAGAGAGUUAAACAGUAUGUGAAAUUGUUGAAAGGGAAGCGCUUGCAACCAGACUUGAGCGCGGCGGUUCCCCCUUGCUUCUGCUUGGGUUACUCCGCCGUGUCCAGGCCAACAUCGGUUCUGGGGGUCGGUCAAAGGCUCUGGGAAUGUAUCUACCCACGGGUAGACUUAUAGACCAGGGUGUCAUGCGACCUCCCGGGACCGAGGAACGCGCUUCGGCUCGGAUGUUGGCGUAAUGGUUGUCAGCGACCCGUCUUGAAACACGGACCAAGGAGUCUAACAUCUAUGCGAGUGUUUGGGUGUCAAACCCGGAACGCGGAAUGAAAGUGAACGGAGGUAGGAAGCUUCGGCUGCACUAUCGACCGAUCCUGAAGUUUACGGAUGGAUUUGAGUAAGAGCAUAGCUGUUGGGACCCGAAAGAUGGUGAACUAUGCCUGAAUAGGGUGAAGCCAGAGGAAACUCUGGUGGAGGCUCGCAGCGGUUCUGACGUGCAAAUCGAUCGUCAAAUUUGGGUAUAGGGGCGAAAGACUAAUCGAACCAUCUGGUAGCUGGUUCUGC